rnacentral:rRNA from 1 species
AGCAACGGAUCUCUUGGCUCUCGCAUCGAUGAAGAACGCAGCGAAAUGCGAUAAGUAAUGUGAAUUGCAGAAUUCAGUGAAUCAUCGAAUCUUUGAACGCACCUUGCGCUCCUUGGUAUUCCGAGGAGCAUGCCUGUUUGAGUGUCAUU